GAGCACGUCAGCCCUCCCAUUUCUAUGCUCUUCUCGAGUCGCGCAACCAGCGGCCAUUUUACACAGCCAGCCUAGGGAGUGCAGGUUACCAGCUCAUCUGUAGUUUUUGAAUAUAGUGCGUUAUUUCACUUUAUCUACUACUCUCGAAAUAUUUUUAACUUUUAUUCUAGUCUGCUUGUGUGAAAAUGUCUCGUGACCGCUCCCGUAACCGUGGAGGAUUCCAGCACCGAGGCCGCGGAGGAGUCGGGAUGCGCGGUGGCAUGGGAAACCCUAACUUUCGAAAUCAAAACCAGCAUCCUUAUCAAAACCGAGGAUCCCAUAUGGGUGGCGGGUUUAAGCCGAAUCAGGGAAACCAACCCAACCAGGCCUCUACGCCACAGAAGCCGCAGGAACUCAAUCAGAACAAGCCAGUGGUCCAAUCACCUCCGGCGCAAGGCCCUGGUCUGGCCCAGCAGAGCAGCAACAAAGGCCCGUCGCCACAGCAGACCGCCAGCCCCGCUCAGCCGAAGAUACAAUCUCCACCGCCACAGAAUAACGUGAAGACCCCGGACCUCGGGUCCCCGCAGAACCAGCCCAGAAAGAACCAACCCAACGUUGGGGUGGGAAAUGGCCAAAAACCGCCUGUUCCCGUGAAGAAAGACGCGGAGCAGACACCACCGCCACAGCAACAACAACAGAUUACCAAGAGCGACGACCACUCUCAGGAAUUGAAGGCAACGCUGUCUUUGCUGCGCAAGCCCGGGGAGAAAACCUACACUCAACGUUGCCGUUUGUUUAUUGGGAACCUACCAAACGACAUCACUGAACCUGAAUUCAGGAAAUUGUUUGCAAAGUAUGGGGAGCCCAGUGAGAUUUUCAUCAAUCAAAGCAAAGGUUUUGGAUUUAUCAGACUGGAAUCCCGUGCCUUGGCAGAGCUCGCAAAAGCUGAGCUGGAUGAUAUUCCGAUGAAAGGCAGACCACUUAGAGUUCGUUUUGCCACUCAUUCUGCUGCACUUUCUGUGCGCAACUUGUCUCCUUUUGUGUCCAAUGAGCUGCUGGAAGAAGCCUUCUCACAGUUUGGAAUGGUGGAAAGGGCUGUAGUUAUCGUAGAUGACCGUGGCCGCUCAACAGGGAAGGGCAUUGUUGAGUUUUCUUCCAAGCCAGCUGCACGGAAGGCCCUUGAUCGGAUCAGUGACGGAGUGUUCCUUCUCACAUCGUCUCCUCGUCCAAUUGUGGUUGAAUUGUUAGAGCAGUACGAUGAUGAGGAUGGUUUGCCUGAGAAACUUGCACAGAAGAACCCAAGUUAUCAGAAGGAGCGAGAGCAGCCUCCUCGGUUUGCCCGUCCUGGCACCUUUGAGUUUGAAUACUCCCAGCGAUGGAAGUCCCUUGAUGAGAUGGAGAAACAACAGAGGCAGCAAGUGGAGAAAAACAUUUGUGAAGCCCGUGAGAAGCUGGAAGGAGAGAUGGAAGAUGCCUAUCAUGAGCAUCAAGCAAACAUGCUCAGACAGGACCUUCUUAGACGUCAGGAGGAACUUCGUCGCAUGGAAGAGUUGCACAGUCAGGAGAUGCAGAAACGUAAAGAGAUGCAGCUCAGGCAAGAAGAAGAACGCCGUAGGAGAGAAGAGGAGAUGAUGCGGCAGAGAGAAAUUGAAGAACAGAUUAGGCGCAAACGUGAGGAGUCUUACAGAAUGGGCGGCUUUAUGGAUAAUAGAGACAGGGAGAUGAGAGGGAAUCCUAGUGGAGGCCUGGGAUUGGCUGAUAUGCCGUUUGGGUCACCCAGCCAAAAGUUCCCAUUGGCAGGAAUGAAUUUUGAAGGACUCCAGGGAAUGGGGGGACAAGCACCAGGGGGCAUGGUGUCCAACGAAAUGGGGCCUCGGGUGAUUGAAGGAGGUUAAGCAGCAUCAUACACUUUGAUAUAUGGGUCAACCAAGGAACCUGUUCUCUCAGCAAUUGAGCGCUAUCGGCACUAAAUGCUCCUGCACAGUGGACAAUAAUGUGCAGUCCUGUUGGAGUGUGACGUGAUGUGGCAGCUUGGGAAAUCUUGAGUGCAGCACAGGAUACAUCAUGAUUGUAUCCAAUUUUUAAAUAAACUAUGUUAAGAUCCCUGUGUCUGGUUUUUGAGAAAAAUUUUUUAGAUGAAACCAUUGCAUUUUACGUGGAACUGCAGAACCUUGAUCUUGUAGCUGACUUGAUGUAUGUUUUAGAGUUCUUGCUAAAUAUUAAUAUUUUGGUUUAGCACAAUUUCAUGUAUAUCCAUUAAACUUACUUGGUAAGACUUAAAAAAAAAUAAUACAGAGAGGAAAAAGACAGUGUCUGCUUAAGAGCUUGUUCUGUAGGUCUAUAAACACAGACAGACCUCUGUAACUCAGUAGCACCCAGGCUGCUGUCCAGUAUUAAUUAAGGUCAGGGUGCUAUGUUUCUCUUGUUUUAUCACUGUUGUGUCCUAUUGUCUGACAGCUACUUCUGGAAAUUGUUCAAGAAGGAAAAUAAACCUGUAGUCUGAGAA